UUCCCCCAAAUUCACAGAGGUCUCUUUUCCCCUUCACCUUCAACCAUCGAUUCUUCAAUACCUUGUCCAUCACCAUCCUCAACAAGCUUCACUACAAGCUAUUUGACUCCCUCAUUCUUUUCAGCUUUGAUUUGCUCCAUUCCCAGUUAGGCUUUGCUCGAAAAAGCAGUUUGUUGAAGUGAACAGCAUCAUCCCUUCUUAGUUUUUCUCUGCCCUUUCUAUUGGAUCCUUCAACUAAAGCUCAAAAAUCUCAAGGCCAUCUUAUGAUCGGAACUUAGAAGAGGACCCGAAUCCAACAACUCAACAUCUUUAUAAUAUGCUCAAAGCAUCAGAACAGGAAGUAUGGGUGGGAAACCCACACGGACAUUCGCAGUUGUCUGCCGUUGCUAGACUGUUGAAUUUAAAGGCAGAACAUCAUUCUUCUGAAAGGUGUUAUGAUGACUUAUGUCAAUUUUUAUCAGAAUUGUUGCCGACUGAUAAAAAAAAGCUAAUGCGAGGCUUGGGCUUGCCAGUAGAAAAGAUUGAUUGUUGCAACAAUGGUUGUAUGAUUUAAUGGCGUGAAGAUAAUGAACUUGAUAGUUGCAAGUUUUGUAGCCAUCCUCGGUUUAAGAGAUCAAAACUUAGACGUACCGAGCAAAAAACUAAUAUUUCCUAUAAGAAGAUGUAUUAUUUUCCUUUAA